GACAGAGGCCUCAAGCGUUAGGCGGAAUCACUGGGCUUAAAGCGUGUGUAGGCGGACGCCUAAGUGUCUUGUGAAAUCCCCCGGCUCACCCGGGGAACUGCUGGGCAUACUGGGCGUCUUGGGCCAACUAGGGGCAACUGGAACAAGCGGUGGAGCGGUGAAAUGCGUAGAUAUCGCUUGGAACGCCGAAGGUGAAAACAGGUUGACUGGGGUUGUGCC
rnacentral:rRNA from 1 species